UACGUAGGGGGCAAGCGUUGUCCGGAAUCAUUGGGCGUAAAGAGCGUGUAGGCGGCUCGAUAAGUCUGCUGUGAAAGUCCAGGGCUCAACCCUGGAAGGCCGGUGGAAACUGUCGGGCUAGAGUCCGGAAGAGGCGAGUGGAAUUCCCGGUGUAGCGGUGAAAUGCGCAGAUAUCGGGAGGAAUACCGGUGGCGAAGGCGGCAUCCUGGACCAUUACUGACGCUGAGGCGCGAAAGCUAGGGGAGCAAACGGG
rnacentral:rRNA from 1 species